UCCUAUUUCACUAUGAGCUGCUCGCUGCUACUGUUGUACAUCCAACUUUCGGGACUUCAGUGAAGUGUUAUGAGGACUCGUGACCUGACACUCCUUACCGCCAAUCUUGUAGACGUCCUGUAGGGGCAGACGCAGGGGCUUGUCGGUGGGGCGGCUGGGGGGCAUGAUGGAGUCCAGAGCCUCCAGCAGUGUGACACCGGUGGCACCGCCCUCCUUGCGCUCGAUCUUCCAGCCCUUGAACCAGCUCAUCUGGAAAUGGAGAAUGUAGAUACAUACAUAGAAAGGGCAGGAAAAAGAGGAAAACGUAACGGGCCACCAGAGCGCUGAGGACGGCCGCUGAUGUUGGGUGAGGAGGUCGUCGCUCCAGUUGAUCCCAGUGGUGCUGGAUGCGGUCAAUGUCCAAGCUUUGUGCAGGCCGCACAAGUCCUUCAACGCCAAACUGAGAAAACCAUUUCUUUAUGAGCUUGGUUUUGUGCACGGGGGCCCUGAAAUGUUGCAACAGGAAAGGGAGAAACAAACUGUUGCUGCAAAGUCAGGAGUGCUGUACGCUCCAAAGCACCUUUGAGGGGUCACAACAUUAACCUGAGGGGUUAUGAGAUGAUUUACAGGAUGGGAAAGUACAUAAAACCCUAAAAUGUAUCCAAAUAAAAAAGAAAAUUUGCACAAGGAUUGAAACAAGAAAUUACACAUGGUUGGCAUGGAUACAUACAGUAUUUGCUCUAUUGCACAAAUUUGUCCACAUACAGAUAAAUAAAUAGGCAAUAUUUCACCUUGUACAGCAAACAGACAUACAUGAUACAUAUGUUGAUUUCAAACACAUUAUGGCUUCCAGUUUAAACCACAGUUUGUAGUAGCAGCACCAGUUUAGUUCUGCUCCUUCAGAGUCGUCUUAAUCUGACGGUUUUAAGAAACAUGACUUGGCGUCUGUGUGGGUGCAGAAAAAAAAAAAGGUUGUGACUGAUUCUGAUCAAAGCCAACAUUCAGAAAAUCCCACGACACUGGCAUUCAUGUGCAUGCAGGCAGAGUUUUAGGUAACUCAAUCGAGAUAGCAAGAUCAGCCGACUGUAUGUGAUUAUAAUCUGAGCCCAGGGGAGCACUUAAUGCAAAUUAAGCACAUUUGCAACACACAGUCGGUUCCACAUUUCUUGUAGCCCCCUGCUCCACACUCCCCCAGGCUCCACACACUGGUUCACACUUGCAAACCAAGUAUAUCCUUUUGGUGCUCAGGCUAUUGUCUGCAUUUGUUUCACACUUGCUGUAUAAAGGAGAGGUGUUGAUCACAUGCAUAUGCACAGCUUCCAGGGUAGGUGUCUUAAGUAGAUGUUUGACCCACCUCUGGCUCUGACUGCACCCUUGAGCUACCCUAGCUUCUCUUUGAAUGCUUUCAAGCCUUAUUCCAUCUCUUUUUAUUCGUAUCCUUGGGCUGUUCUUUUAAUGUACCAAUUUUCAGCGGUGGAAGAAGUAUUCCGAUCCUUUACUUAAGUAAAAGUACUAAUACUCCACUACAAGUCAUCUGACCAUCAGUCUUUUACUAUUAUACAUGGUCUUUUUGAAUUAAUAUUACUGCUGCUUUAAUGUGUAUAGCAUGUUGUAUGUUAUUUACUGGUUUAAUCAACAGCAAUGCAUCAUAUUCUAUAAGAUCAUCACGUUUGUGGCAUCACUGUCCUGUGAAAACCACGGAUCUUUAAAACAUCAACUUCUCUGAGCUCAGAAAAACAACCAAUAAAGGAACACGUAUUCCUUCAGUGAAUCACA